rnacentral:rRNA from 1 species
GGAUAACCUACCUGUGGAGGGGGAUGACCCCGGGAAACUGGGGAUAAUACCCCAUAGACUAUGGAUGCUGGAAUGCUCUGUAGUCAAAAGGUCCGCCGCCAUAGGAUGAGUCUGCGGCCGAUUAGGUUGUUGUUGGGGUAACGGCCCAACAAGCCGGUUAAUCGUUACGGGUUGUGGGAGCAAGAACCCCGGAGAUGGAUUUUGAGACAUGAAUCCAGGCCCUACGGGGCGCAGCAGGCGCGAAAACUUUACAAUGCGGGAAACCGUGAUAAGGGAACCCCGAGUGCCUGUAACCACAGGCUGUUCAUGUGUUUAAAACCCAUGUGGAGAAAGGGCCGGGCAAGACCGGUGCCAGCCGCCGCGGUAAUACCGGCGGCUCGAGUGGUGGCCACUAUUACUGGGCUUAAAGCGUCCGUAGCUGGUUUGUUAAGUCUCCUGGGAAAUCAAUCGGCUCAACCGAUGGGCUUUAGGAGAUACUGGCAACCUAGGGACCGGGAGAGGUGAGAGGUACUCCAGGGGUAGGAGUGAAAUCCUGUAAUCCUCGGGGGACCACCUGUGGCGAAGGCGUCUUACCAGAACGGCUCCGACAGUGAGGGACGAAAGCUGGGGGAGCAAACCGGAUUAGAUACCCGGGUAGUCCCAGCUGUAAACGAUGCGCGUUAGGUGUAUCGGUGACCACGAGUCACCGAGGUGCCGAAGAGAAAUCGUGAAACGUGCCGCCUGGGAAGUACGGUCGCAAGGCUGACACUUAA